GCCUUCGUGGUGUAGUGGUCAGCAUGCUCGGCGUGUAUUCCAGAGGCCCGAGGUUCGAGUCCCGGGGAAGGCA
rnacentral:tRNA from 1 species